GUCCAACUGACAGGUCCCGAAUAGGACGAAACGCGCGUCCUAGAU
rnacentral:hammerhead_ribozyme from 1 species